rnacentral:snoRNA from 1 species
AUAUGGCGAGGAGGAUGAUUCAAUUAGAUGUGUGACGCAGACUUGUCUGCGCUGAACAUACACACUUGAGGCAUAUUCAUUCAUACCGAACUGACUCGCCAUAU